rnacentral:rRNA from 1 species
CCUACGGGUGGCAGCAGUGGGGAAUAUUGGGCAAUGGGCGCAAGCCUGACCCAGCCACGCCGCGUGAAGGAAGAAGGCCCUCGGGUUGUAAACUUCUUUUAUUCGGGACGAAACAAAUGACGGUACCGAAUUAAUCAGCCACGGCUAAAUACGUGCCAGCAGCCGCUGUAAUCCGGAGGUUGCAAGCAUUAUCCGGAUUUACUGGGUGUAAAGGGCGUGUGGGCGGGAGAGUAAGUCAGACGUGAAAUUCCAGGGCUCAAACCUGGAACUGCGGUUGAAACUGUUCUUCUUGAGUGAUGGAGAGGCAGGCGGAAUGCGGGGUGUAGCGGUGAAAUGCGUAGAUAUAAGGAGGAACACCAGUGGCGAAGGCGGCCUGCCGGACAUUAACUGACGCUGAGGCGCGAAAGCGUGGGGAGCAAACAGGAUUAGAUACCCUUGUAGUC